AGGGGGAGGUGUCUUAAAGGGCCAGCACGUCAGAGCGUUCGCAGGUGGAGCACAUGGGAACGGGCCACGCGGCCGACCCGGCCUGCUCGCGCUCUUUAGGCUGGGUGCACCGAAUUCGGGAGAAGGAGCCAUUAAUGUCAUCCCGGAUUUACAGAGUGAAGGAGAGGGGUGCCCAUCCACUUCGAGGACGCGCCGACGCCGCCAGUUCCCUGGCGCCCCGCGGGCCUGGCCCCUCCGGGCCCGCCCGGGUGACCUUGGGCGAGUCGCCCUCACCUCUCCGGGCCGUACUGGGCUCCUCCCCGCGGCCCCGGACGGCCAGGACACUGCCCGGAGUUCGGUUCGACGCCCGGCCCCGAAGGCAGGCCCUUAACCCAUGGGGACAAGAGUGCCUACGAAGUGGGAACGGAAUUACCAACCCCCAACCUGGCCAGGCCCCCGAAACCGAAUAUUCAUGGGCAGGAAAUGUUUUUUUUCUAAAGAAUUGCUUAGGGCGGAGUUGAACCAAAGUGAUUGGGACUCAGAUACCUGAGAUUUUAUCCUGGCCCUGGCCCUGCCCCUUACCAACUCUGCAGCAGUCAUUUCCUCAGUGGACCUCAGUUUCUCUAUUGUAAAACGAACCAAUGGUAAAUGACAGUGAUUUCAAACUUCAAUGCACAUUCAAUAAAUAUUUACUAACCUCGUACUGUGAGAACCUGAAGGGUUCUAGGAAAGGGAGUUUGGCAAUCAGGCGAACAAGGUCUCUAUCCUGGAAUUUACACUCUGAGGUGGAGAAAGACAAUAAACAGUGCUAAAUGCUUGUUUCCUUUCUAUGAAGACAAUAACUACUACAGUGGUUGGUUAAACUAAAUCAGCUACUUCAGUAUGGAUGAUGAGGGAAAACCUUGAAUGCAGAUUCCAAAUGUUUUCGAAUGGAAUAUGUCUGGGAUGGGACCUUGAAACCCGCAAGUCUAACAAACCUCCUUGGAUGCUUACCCAUCUGGUGGUCCCACACUUCACUUGGAGAAUUCCUGGUUCUGACUGGCUGUGAUCCCACCACCUCAAGACAUAACAGCCUGGAAUGUUGGCCAUCUUCAAGGCAAGGAUUAGAACACAUGACCUGCUGGAUAUGGGAAAAGGCUUAUUGAAAAGCCUCUUGGAAUUGCCCCAGGGGACGAGGCUGGUUGUAACCAUGACUACUGGGGAGAGAUGCUGUUGGGGGAUAAUCUGACGUCUAGUUCCAGCUCUUCCAUAACUUGCAACUCAGCCUCUGCACAUUGGUCAGCAUUCCAACCUUCCAUGGGCACCCCUUUCCUGGUGGUGAAAUGGGGGUAAAAUUAUGCCUAACUUGCUUCUACCCUCUCAGCUUCUGUGAGGGGUCAAAUGAGACGUUAGUCAAAGUGCGGUGUAAAUUAUAGAGUCUGAGGCUGGUGCUUCAAGAGAGGUACCAAGGAAGGUAAUGAUCACAGGAAUCUCAAUGAAUUUGAGUAGGAUUCUUCAUAAUUGUAUUAUAUAUGCCCUUAAUCGGAAGUGCUGACAACUUCCUGAAGACAGAAGAGGCCACAUGAGGGACAGAUAGCCUAGAGACCUGAUUGAUAAGCUGCAGACCAUCUCCGGUUUUGCUGAAUGACUUUGGGCAGCCUCUUUGCCUUCCUGGGCUUCCAUUUCUCUCUCCACAAAAUGGGAAGCAUAAUACCUGCCUCUCUGGCUUAUCAAGGUGAAGAAAGAUGUUCCUGUCUUCUCAUCCGAGUCCGGGCCCGCAGCUGGCCGUAGUAAUCUGAAGGGAACUAACUGGGGAGCUACCUUCUUCCAAGGUCAUGUGGCUGCUAGCAAGAUUUACUCUCAAGGAUUGUUGGACUGAUGUCUUCCCAGCUGUUGCCCAGAGGCCACCCUCAGUUCCUCAGUUCCACGCAUCAAUGUCUCCUGUGUGGGAGUUUGCUUCAUCAAAGCGUGCAAGCCGGGUGUGGAAGCAAGAGCAGGGUGGAAGUCACGAUCUUUUGUAGCCUGAUUGUGGAAGUGAUUAUUGCCGUGUUCUAUUUGUUAGAAGUGAGUCACUGGGCCCAGCCCAUCCUGCACAAAAGGAGAGUACACAGGGGCUUGAAUACCAGGAAGAGGGGAUCACAGGGGGCCAUUCUAGAACCUUUCUGCCUGCCACACCAGUCGCCAACUUUUAAUUUUGCCAGAGAAGAACACUUAGAAAAUCAACUCCCACCUCUGGUUACCAUAACUUCAUAAAUGAAAUAGACCUUUUUACAAUCUGUCUAGAUACAAAGAGAUAAUUUCAUAAUAAGGGGUAGUCCCUUGUAGGUGAAUAAAUGUAGCCUCGUGCAAAAUGCCCGCAUGGUCCUCAGUUUUCUCCCUCUGCAGAGCUCUGGUGUCUGGCUUAGCACCAGGAACCUCCUCUCCUGCCUGAAGCAGGAUAACACAGCAGCUGGUGGGUGGAGUUAAGAGAGGAGGGGGUGGGUUGGCCUGAGCAUGGUUGGGGCCCACACAGUGCCUAGCACUGCCCCCCCCCCCCAAGCUGGUUGGCUGAAUGAAUGAAUACAUCAGUGAGAAACUUCAUGGGGACGUGUCACUUUUACCCCUGACUCUCAGACAAGGAAACCCAGCCUUGUAAGGCUAAGUGACAGCUGGGCCUAAGCCUUCAGGGCUAGAAAGGACAUUAAAUUUGCAGGGUGCUCUAUUCUCCACAAAUCCCUUCUGCACCCAUUAGCUAAGCUGAUAGUCUCAAUGCCCCUGGUUGUGGGAAGAAGUUUGCCAUUUCCCAUGUUAGCACUGAGCAAACAGGUUCAGAGAGGUUAAGCACCUUGCAUGGACCCGGAGAGGGCUGAGGGAGGUUUAAAAAAAAAAAAAAAAAAAAAAGCAGCAAGGGUUACUGAGCAGGGAGGGUCCAGCAGGGGUCAUUUGACCAGUCUCCCAGAUCAGGAGUCAGUUAUAGGGGGGGCAACUCUGGGGCCACGAGCCAUCUUUAUUCUUCCAAAGUUGGGCCAGAGGUGGCUCUGUGGCAGGUGGCACCAGGGUACUACUGAGUCACAUGGCCCCAAUGCAAAGGCAAGAGACCCUAGAACAAGCAGCCAAGUUAGCCUCAGAAACUCAGAACUUUUUCCACUUCCCCUUUACUUGGGCCAAAGCUGCCCCAUCCCAGCCCCUCAGCCCGGUCCCCAGGGUGCCCCUGCUGCACAGGGUGCCGCUUGCCCACUUGGCCUGUUCCACUGCAUAUUCCCUGGUUUAGUUAUGCCUUCCCUUCUUGAGGAGCACCCCCCUGGGGCUUCUCUCUGCACCCCCCACCCCCCAGCAGAGCACGUGACCAGUGACAUCACUGGAGUGAAAUGGCCACCCUCGUCUGGUCUUUAUUGUACCCAGGAAUAUCCACUCUCAACCCACAUACAAAAUCCCGAGAUUGGAUGCUACGGUCACCCCUUUUCACAACAGAAAAAAGCCCCAGGAACCAAAAGGUUGGUGAACAUGGUCGAAUCACACAGCAAGUAUUUGGUGCCACAGCUGAAAGGUGGAAAGGCCACAUUUAAAAAUCCUCAUCCCUGCAUGCAAGGCACUGGGCUAACACGUUUAUAGACAACACAUUAUCUCAAUUGCCGGCACAAGGGGGCCACUAUCAUUAAAUCCAUUUUACCCACGAAGAAAUUAAAGUUUAGCUAGGCCAAGUGACCUGCCCAAGCACGUCAGGGAGGAACGGGGAUGGAACCCGCGGCCGGCCCUCUUCUGCAGAACAUUCCACUGCCUGUAAAACUGUGGGCAGAUGCAUAUGGUUACUAGACUCUUAGGAGUCAGGUCCUGCUUUUCAGUUCUCCUUUGGUGGUUGUUAUCUUUGUUUCCCUGACUGUGUGCUGUAGGCUAAGGAUGUAACUCUAGAGUCGCCAUUGUAAAGGCAAUUAGAUAACUUUAAUGAAGAAUGCCAAACAAAAAAAAUCUGACUUAUGGCAAGAUAUAUCAUGAUUAGCCAUAGAAGAUGUCAACUUUUUCCAGCUUAUAAGUGCAAAGCAAUACAAUCAAAACACCACUGAGGUGUUCUGCAGAAUUUAAUACACUUAUUCUAGAACGACAUGGAAGAGGAAACAACAGUCAAGAAAUUCGCGAAACUGGAAGACGCAGAAGGAACACGUCUCCUAUCAGAUAGCCAGACUUAGUAUAAAGGCUUUUUAUCUGUAAUUAAGAGAGUACUGCUCUGGGAAUACAUAUUAAGAAAAGAAAAAGCAUCAGGAAAACCAGUCUUAUCUCACCACUUUGGUCAUGAAAGAAACCCAAGUGAAAACAAAGUCACCUUUUAUACCCAUCAGACUGCCAAGGAUGAAAAAUGACAAUUUUCAGGAUUGGGGACACGUGAGAAAUCAGACACUCUCUACACCGAUGUCUGCACGUGUAGGUAGGGGGAUUGAGAAUGAGUCAAACGUUCCUGGGAAGGGGUUUGGUAAUAUAUAUCAAAAUGCAAUGUGCCACGCUCCUUGACCCAGAGGAUCCCCCUCCAGAAUUUGUCCUUAUGUCAUGAAUGAUGUCUCUUAACGGCAUUGUUUACAAUAGGAAGAUGUUGGAAGCUGCUUCAACGUCCAUCAAUAAGAGAUUGGACAAAUAAAUCGUGGUAUGCCCAUACAACACAAGUAUCACAAAAGAUUAAAAACGAAAGUAUAGACCAACAGCACUGACAAAGAUGAUUGAGUAAAUAACAAAGAUUGCCUUGACCCCACCGCUCAGAAAUAACUACUGGUAAACAUUUUGUUUAUAUUUUCCCAGCCUUUUUUCCAUGCAUGCACACAUGUUAUUGAAAGAAAUGGAAUCAUACGAUAUGUAUUACUUUGUAACUAGCAAUUUAAAUACAUAUUGAAUACUGUGA